rnacentral:lncRNA from 1 species
UUUUACAAAGCAUUCAGAGUACUGCGACAUCUUCCAGUAAAGGACUGAUCUGUGAUGCAGUGCAGGACUUUGAAGAACGUAGGUGAAAAGCAGCCUGAAGUGGAGUAACGUACAGUGUGUGCAAAGGACAGCAGAGCCUCUGAAUUGGAAGGGUGUUGGUGGUCUGAGAACAGGAGUUGCAGAAGCCGCCUGGUAGACGUCUCCAAAUCUGGCCAGCGCCUUCCCAAGCACCAGCUCACUGUCAGCAGAGACAUCCAGUGGUCACUGAGCAGUAAUUACCUGCAACUGCAAAUGGAAAAAUGUCCUGAAGAGCAGCCAGCAAUUGUGAGUGAGCAUCCCUCUGCCAGCAAGAGCAGCAGGACAUCCCCACUUAACACGAGUAGUUGUCCAUCUGCAUGUGAGUAUCUAAAUGCAUGUGAGUAUCUGCAUCUGAACAGUUUUUACCUGAGAUUUUUAAAACAGUCAAGUGUUUGCCUCACUUUUGCUAUGUGUAAGAGGACCAGUGUCAUUGAGACCUCAGCACUGGGCAGACUUAGGCUGAUGUUGGCUGCUUCUGAAAACCAUUUGCCCAGAAUCAGGCAUAAAUCCUGUGCUCUAACAAAACAGUGCUGUGUGUCAACACCUUGAAAGCUAUAGCAUGUCAUAGAAUAUAGUUUAAAGAGUGCUUUGGGACCUUUUGAAUGAAAGGUAAUAUGGACAAAUUUCUCAUCAGGAGGUAAAGCUAUUAGCAGCCAGCCUGAACUCCAGCAUAGUCCCUUUUCUGAAGUUAUCCCGUGCAAUUAAAUCUGUGGUUAUAUUUCAUAUUUCACUUACUGUCAAAGGCCAGUAGAGUCCUUUAAACUUCUCAUUAAGCUUAGAGGCGUAGGCAAAAAAAAGAAACAGUGCCAGCAGAAAUUCUAGGAGUGGUGCCAUCAUGAAUGCGGAAGCUGAAGAUGCAAUAUAGCAGAUAAAGAUGAUAAAUGACAGCACCGACUCGGCGAGCAGCAGCUGCCCCUUACGGGAGCACAGGAAUUCCCGCGGCGGCAGCAGCGAGCGCAGCCCGGGCGGCGGAGGCUCCGCGUUGGCCCCCGGCUCCUCCAUGGCUGCGGCCGCGGGCUGCGGGGCGCUCGGCUCUGGGCUGCUUUUUUUUUCUUUUUUGAAGGAGGGAAGCGGAAAUCAUGACACUGCGGAAACGUGAAAAAAAACCCGCAACCUUUCAGUAUCC